rnacentral:rRNA from 1 species
GAGUAGGUUACUAAGAGCGUAUGGUGGAUGCCUUGGCAUAAAAAGGCGAUGAAGGACGUGGCGUGACUGCGAUAAGUGUCGGGGAGGUGUCUAGCGACCUUUGAUCCGGCAAUGUCCGAAUGGGGCAACCCAUGGCAAGUAAUGUUGCCAUAUCUUUAUCCGUAAGAGAUAAAGAAGUAAACCCGGGGAAGUAAAACAUUUCAUUACCCGGAGGAAAAUAAAUCAAAUAUCACUUUAUUAUUUGUGGAUCCGGAUAGUCGGGUUCAUAAAUAAUAUCGUGAUUAUAUUCCCCCAGUAGCGGCGAGCGAAAAGGGAGGAGUCCAAACCUCACUAUUGUAUUCGCAAGAAAACAAUGGUGGGGGGUUGUAAGAAAUAAUUGUUUCCAUAGCAAUAUGGAAGGAGAGUACAGAAAUGAAAAAUUGGUUAGUUGAACGGUUUUGGAAAAGCCGACCAUAGACGGUACUAGUCCCGUAAGCGAAAAUCUUUUUCAUACUUUCUAAUUAUUAUCUUGAGUACUGCGGGGAAAGACUGCCCCGUAGGAAGCAGGGAGUACUACAUUCCCAAGACUAAAUACUUUUUAUGACCGAUAGUGAACUAGUACCGUGAGGGAAAGGUGAAAAGCAGCCCGGUGAGGGCGGUGAAAUAGAAUCUGAAACCAUACGCUUACAAAGAGCGGGAGCCCGGUGUGUGCAACACACAGUUUGUGAGUUAAUGAGUUACGCUUCGCUACAGUUUAAUAAGUUUUAAACUUAAUAACUGUAAGGGGGCUGUAACUGAUAAAACUGAUUAACUGCGCGUUGCGCGCAUGGGUGACCGUGUGCCUAUUGAAGAAUGAGCCAACGACUUUAUGUAUUUUGCUUGUUUAACCCCGCUUAGCGGGGGGAGGCGAAGGGAAACCGAGUGUUAAUAGCGCGUACUUAAUAUUUAUAUUAAGAGGCAAAAUGUAUAAGACCCGAAGCCAGGUGAGCUUACCAUGGUCAGGCUGAACUCCAAUGAAAGUUGGAGGGAGGGCCGCACCCACUAGCCGUGCAAUACUAGGGGAUGAAUUGUGGUAAGAAGUGAAAAGCUAAUCGAACCUGGGAAUAGCUGGUUCUCUCCGAAAUAGCUUUAGGGCUAGCCUCAAGUGUUUUUUAUUGGAGGUAGAGCACUGGUUGGUCUUGAUUGGCGCAAGCUAGCAAGACCAGUCAAACUCCGAAUUCCAUUAGAAUAACUUGGGAGUCAGUAUUCGGGGGCAAAGCUCCGAAUACGAAAGAGCAAGAACUCGGACCAUCAUCUAAGGUCCCUAAAUUUUGACUAAGUGUAGAAGGAAGUGAUGCGUCGAAGACAGAUAGUAGGUUGGCUUAGAGGUAGCCAUCCUUUAAAGAGUGUGUAACAACUCACUAUUAUAUCCCGAGAGCAAUCGAGGGACUGACGCAUUGCGCCAAAGAUAUAACGGGACUAAGUCAAAUACCGAAGAUAUGGGUGUCUUCACUUUUAGUGGAGGCGCGGUAGGAGAGCGUUUUUAGCGCAGCGAAGAUUGACCCGCGAGGGCGAUUGGAGCGCUAAGAAGUGAGAAUGUUGGCAUGAGUAACCUGCAAGACCGGUAAGAAACCGGUCCGCCGAAAGCCUGAGGUUUCCUUGGCAAUGAAAAUCAGCCAAGGGUUAGGCGGUCCUAAGGCAAUGGAGAAAUCCGCAGCCGAUGGACAGACGGUUAAUAUUCCGUCCCUACCUUAAGCGCUUUUACGGAGUAACGGAGUUUAGUAUGCCGAGCGCCUUAUUGGAUUGGCGUUCUUUGCGUUAGGGUUUCUAGGAGGCAAAUCCCCUAGGAUGUAUUUAAUUACAAAUCUAAGCGUUGAGAAAAUUUGUCCGUUCGCGGACUGAAAUUUGGCAAAGCAAGCUUCCAAGAAAAACUUCGUAAAUUAGCUUUAGGUAUCCGUACCGAAAACCGACCCAGGUGGGCAGGGCGAGUAGCCCACGGCGAACGAGUGAUUCGUGGUUAAGGAACUCGGCAAAAAAGCGGCCGUAAGUUAGCAAUAUGGCCUGCCCCGCUCAGCGGGGCCGCAGCUAAAGUAUCCCUGGCGACUGUUUAUCAAAAACACAGCUCCCUGCUAACUCGCAAGAGGAUGUAUAGGGGGUGAUGCCUGACCUAUGCGAGAAGGUUAACGAUGGAUGUGAUAUUUCCAGCAAUGGAGGUAUUGCUAAUAUCCGAAGCCCUCGUAAAUGUCAGCGAUAACUAUAAUCGUUCUAAGGUAGCGUAAUUCCUUGUCUGGUAAGUUCAGACGUGCACGAAAGGCCUAACGACUGGGGAACUGUCUCAAUCACGAGCUCGGUGAAAUUGCAAUUCCAGCGAAGAUGCUGGGUACCUGUAGCAAGACGAAAAGACCCCGGGAGCUUUACUGCAGUUUAGUAUUGGCUAUAAAAUUUGUCUGCGUAGCAUAGGAGGGAGGCUUUGAAGCCGUGUUUUCGGACGCGGUGGAGCCGUCAGUGAAAUACCUCUCUUUUAAAUUUUAUAAUCUAACCGUCGCGGAAAAAACGAGUCGGAACAGUGCUUGACGGGCAGUUUUAGUGGGGCGCUAUCCUCCAAAAGCGUAACGGAGGAGUCCAUUAAGGUCGGCUAGCUUCGGAUGGAAAUCGAAGUGAUAGGGCAAAGCCACAAGCCGGCUUAACUGCAAGACAUACAUGUCGCGCAGGUGCGAAAGCAGGGCUUAGUGAACUGUUUGUGGUUUGUAGAAACGCAAACAAUCAUCGGAUAAAAGCUACCCCGGGGAUAACAGGCUAGUCUGGUCCAAGAGUCCAUAUCGACGACCAGGUUCGGCACCUCGAUGUCGGCUCAUCUUAUCCUGGGGCUGGAGAAGGUCCCAAGGGUUUGGCUGUUCGCCAAUUAAAAAGGUACGUGAGCUGGGUUCAAACCGUCGUGAGACAGGUUGGUCUCUAUCUGCUACAGGCGUUGAUACUUGAGGAGCGUCAUUCCUAGUACGAGAGGACCGGAAUGACGGAACCUCUGGCGUACCGGCUGUCCUGCCAAGGGCAUCGCCGGGUAACUAUGUUCCGAAUUGAUAAGCGCUGAAAGCAUAUAAGUGCGAAGCAAUCUCCAAGAUUAGGUAUCGUCAUAGCUUCCUCGGAGAUGACGAGGUUGAUAGGCGACAGGUGUAAGCAUAGCAAUAUGUUUAGCCGAGUCGUACUAAUAAAGCGAACAUCUACUCAU